rnacentral:rRNA from 1 species
GACGAACGCUGGCGGCGUGCCUAAUACAUGCAAGUUGAGCGCUGAAGGUUGGUACUUGUACCAACUGGAUGAGCAGCGAACGGGUGAGUAACGCGUGGGGAAUCUGCCUUUGAGCGGGGGACAACAUUUGGAAACGAAUGCUAAUACCGCAUAAAAACUUUAAACACAAGUUUUAAGUUUGAAAGAUGCAAUUGCAUCACUCAAAGAUGAUCCCGCGUUGUAUUAGCUAGUUGGUGAGGUAAAGGCUCACCAAGGCGAUGAUACAUAGCCGACCUGAGAGGGUGAUCGGCCGCAUUGGGACUGAGACACGGCCCAAACUCCUACGGGAGGCAGCAGUAGGGAAUCUUCGGCCAUGGACGAAAGUCUGACCGAGCAACGCCGCGUGAGUGAAGAAGGUUGUCGGAUCGUAAAACUCUGUUGGUAGAGAAGAACGUUGGUGAGAGUGGAAAGCUCAUCAAGUGACGGUAACUACCCAGAAAGGGACGGCUAACUACGUG